rnacentral:rRNA from 1 species
UACGAAGGGGGCGAGCGUUGUUCGGAUUUACUGGGCGUAAAGGGCGCGUAGGCGGCCCUCCUUGUCGCGUGUGAAAGCCCCGGGCUCAACCUGGGAAUUGCGCGCGAAACGGGGGGGCUUGAGUUCGGGAGAGGAGCGUGGAAUUCCCAGUGUAGAGGUGAAAUUCGUAGAUAUUGGGAAGAACAUCGGUGGCGAAGGCGGCGCUCUGGACCGAGACUGACGCUGAGGUGCGAAAGCGUGGGGAGCAAACAGG